CUUGCUCCUCUGUCUCGGCCACCAGAGCACACCCUGCCAGCUCCCUUUGUCUACCUGUUACCUGCAGUGCCUGUGCAGUUGGUGCUUGGUGAUGAAUGGAAGUCUUCAACAGUGAUUCACUCUUCUCAUGCUCCUCGCUCAUCUACUGACUGCCUGUCCUGAAUCAGGCUAUGCCUGGGCAUGGGAGUCAAAGGCAAAUGAAGCACCACAUCUGGCUCACUACCCACUGUUGCUGUUGGAAACUUCUUGUCAGCUCCACUUGAGACCUGCCAUCCUUGGAGUCCUGCACUCCCAUCCCUCCAGCCUCGUUGCAUUCUCUAUCCAGGAAAUCAUGACA
rnacentral:lncRNA from 1 species